rnacentral:rRNA from 1 species
AUUGAACGCUGGCGGCAGGCCUAACACAUGCAAGUCGAGCGAGCUGCGGACGGGUGAGUACUGUCUGGGAAACUGCAUGAUGGAGGGGGAUAACUACUGGAAACGGUAGCGAAUACCGCAUACCACCACAUGUGCCAAGGUGGGAUUAGCUAGUAGGGGGGGUAACGGCCCACCUAGGCGACGAUCCCUAGCUGGUCUGAGAGGAUGACCAGCCACACUGGAACUGAGACACGGUCCAUACUCCUACGGGAGGCAGCAGUGGGGAAUAUUGCACAAUGGGCGCAAGCCUGAUGCAGCCAUGCCGCGUGUGUGAAGAAGGCCUUCGGGUUGUAAAGCACUUUCAGCGGGGAGGCGUUACCCGCAGAAGAAGCACCGGCUAACUCCGUGCCAGCAGCCGCGGUAAUUC